CAGCCCACUGUGCCUAGUCCUCGCCAUAGUUCCAGGCUGAUGAAGGUGAUGACAUCGCCCUACAAAGCCAGGAACAAGCUGAGUGUCGUUCCGACGACAAACACAGUGAACAGGGUGAAAAUGAAGGGCUAGCCCAGAAACCAGAUGCCAUCAGUAUUAUGGCAUGCUUGAUUGUCAAGCUCUACGGUGUCUCCUUAUCCCCCGAAAAGCAAGGCGGACAAAGGCAGGACCGCUGGAUCCUGGCGACCCAGGCCUAACGCAACAUCCGUCAGCUGGUGCUGGACAGCCUGGUGGUCAUGAAGAAGACAGCCUUGCAACUGUUCAACAUCAACAAUGCCACUCUGAGCAAGUGGAACAAUGACAUAGUGAAGAGUCAGGAGCUGCUCAUUCUUGAGCAGGGCAUCCGGCUGCAAGUUCCCCCAAUGACAG